GGGAGCUUGCUCCCUGAUGUUAGCGGCGGACGGGUGAGUAACACGUGGGUAACCUGCCUGUAAGACUGGGAUAACUCCGGGAAACCGGGGCUAAUACCGGAUGGUUGUCUGAACCGCAUGGUUCAGACAUAAAAGGUGGCUUCGGCUACCACUUACAGAUGGACCCGCGGCGCAUUAGCUAGUUGGUGAGGUAACGGCUCACCAAGGCGACGAUGCGUAGCCGACCUGAGAGGGUGAUCGGCCACACUGGGACUGAGACACGGCCCAGACUCCUACGGGAGGCAGCAGUAGGGAAUCUUCCGCAAUGGACGAAAGUCUGACGGAGCAACGCCGCGUGAGUGAUGAAGGUUUUCGGAUCGUAAAGCUCUGUUGUUAGGGAAGAACAAGUGCCGUUCAAAUAGGGCGGCACCUUGACGGUACCUAACCAGAAAGCCACGGCUAACUACGUGCCAGCAGCCGCGGUAAUACGUAGGUGGCAAGCGUUGUCCGGAAUUAUUGGGCGUAAAGGGCUCGCAGGCGGUUUCUUAAGUCUGAUGUGAAAGCCCCCGGCUCAACCGGGGAGGGUCAUUGGAAACUGGGGAACUUGAGUGCAGAAGAGGAGAGUGGAAUUCCACGUGUAGCGGUGAAAUGCGUAGAGAUGUGGAGGAACACCAGUGGCGAAGGCGACUCUCUGGUCUGUAACUGACGCUGAGGAGCGAAAGCGUGGGGAGCGAACAGGAUUAGAUACCCUGGUAGUCCACGCCGUAAACGAUGAGUGCUAAGUGUUAGGGGGUUUCCGCCCCUUAGUGCUGCAGCUAACGCAUUAAGCACUCCGCCUGGGGAGUACGGU
rnacentral:rRNA from 1 species